CAGAAGCUAGUGAGAACUUCAGAAUCCAUAACAAUGAAAUAAUGUGGAGGUAAAUUACCAUAAUAUACAAGGGAAUUUCUUAUCCUAGCAAUCUUCUAACUUGAUCAUGCCUAGGUGCAAAUUAUCUGUAUACUGUGAUGUCAGAAACAUAAAUUAGAUCCUACCAUGUUAGACACAGAACAUUUUUCUGAUAUAUUCAACUUUCUAUUGCUCCUAAUAUUUAUAAGUAUUUAGGAAAAAUAAGUUGUCUUAUGCAAGAUGAGUGGUGUUCUUAAACUAAUAAUUCAUGCUUGAAUUCUGAGUCAUAAUAGGCAGAACAGAAAUAUAGAAUGAAAGAAACACAUAUGU
rnacentral:lncRNA from 1 species